AAUGUAAGAUGCUCAGUUAAUUUUGAAUUUCAGACACAUUUCCCAUCCUUUUUUUAGUUUAAGUUUGCCCCAUGCAAUAUUUGGGACAUACUUAAACUAAAAAUUAAGUUUUACCUGAAAUUCAAAUUUAACUGGACAGUCAGUAUUUU
ensembl:miRNA